rnacentral:rRNA from 1 species
UACGUAGGGUGCAAGCGUUAAUCGGAAUUACUGGGCGUAAAGCGUGCGCAGGCGGUUAUGUAAGACAGAUGUGAAAUGCCCGGGCUUAACCUGGGAACUGCGUUUGAAACUACAAGGCUAGAGUGUGGCAGAGGGGGUGGAAUUCCGACGGUGUAGCAGUGAAAUGCGUAGAGAUGAUGGAGGAACACCGAUGGCGAAGGCAGCCCCCUGGGUUAACACUGGACGCUCAGGCACGAAAGCGUGGGGAGCAAACAGG